GACGAACGCUGGCGGCGUGCUUAACACAUGCAAGUCGAACGGAAAGGCCCUGCUUUUGUGGGGUGCUCGAGUGGCGAACGGGUGAGUAACACGUGAGUAACCUGCCCUUGACUUUGGGAUAACUUCAGGAAACUGGGGCUAAUACCGGAUAGGAGCUCCUGCUGCAUGGUGGGGGUUGGAAAGUUUCGGCGGUUGGGGAUGGACUCGCGGCUUAUCAGCUUGUUGGUGGGGUAGUGGCUUACCAAGGCUUUGACGGGUAGCCGGCCUGAGAGGGUGACCGGCCACAUUGGGACUGAGAUACGGCCCAGACUCCUACGGGAGGCAGCAGUGGGGAAUAUUGCACAAUGGGCGGAAGCCUGAUGCAGCAACGCCGCGUGCGGGAUGACGGCCUUCGGGUUGUAAACCGCUUUCGCCUGUGACGAAGCGUGAGUGACGGUAAUGGGCAAAGAAGCACCGGCUAACUACGU
rnacentral:rRNA from 1 species